rnacentral:rRNA from 1 species
GGAGUCUGGGCCGUGUCUCAGUCCCAAUGUGGCCGUUCAACCUCUCAGUCCGGCUACUGAUCGUCGACUUGGUGAGCCGUUACCUCACCAACUAUCUAAUCAGACGCGAGCUCAUCUUUCAGCGAUAAAUCUUUGAUAGUUAGAUCAUGCGAUCCUACUAUAUUAUGCGGUAUUAUCAGUCGUUUCCAACUGCUAUCCCCCUCUGAAAGGCAGAUUGCUCACGUGUUACUCACCCGUCCGCCACUAAGUUAUUUAAAGCAAGCUCCAAAUAACUCCGUUCGACUUGCAUGUGUUAAGCGUGCCGCCAGCGUUCGUCCUGAGCCACUGAUCAAACUACU